rnacentral:rRNA from 1 species
GGAAACAGAUGCUAAUACCGGAUAACAACAGAUGAUGCCUAUCAACUGUUUAAAAGAUGGUUCUGCUAUCACUCUUGGAUGGACCUGCGGUGCAUUAGCUAGUUGGUAGGGUAACGGCCUACCAAGGCGAUGAUGCAUAGCCGAGUUGAGAGACUGAUCGGCCACAUUGGGACUGAGACACGGCCCAAACUCCUACGGGAGGCAGCAGGC